rnacentral:lncRNA from 1 species
UUCACAUAUUCAUGUGUAUAAAUUUCUAUACAAAAAUAUUUUCGCAUGUACUUUUUAUGCGCAACAUCCUCAUAUAUCCGCAUACAGCUUCUAUGCAGUUUUCUUCUGCAUAGAACUUUUGCAUGCAUAAAAAGAAUUUCUGCAUGCUAAAUUCUAUGCAAUUUUUUCUGCAUAAAUAUUUUAUAUACGUGUCCGCAUAUAUGUGCAUAUAAAUUUCUAUAUAAAAAAAACUCACAUAUAUAUUUUAUACAUAAUUACACGUGUCUGCAUGUAAAAUUCUAUAUAGG